rnacentral:rRNA from 1 species
AUGCAUGUCUAAGUUCACACCCUCGUACGGUGAAACCGCGAAUGGCUCAUUAAAUCAGUCGAGGUUCCUUAGAUGAUCCAAAUUUACUUGGAUAACUGUGGUAAUUCUAGAGCUAAUACAUGCCCAACAGCUCCGACCCUUCGGGGAAAGAGCGCUUUUAUUAGUUCAAAACCAGUCGGGUUCUGCCCGUCCUUUGGUGACUCUGGAUAACUUUGUGCCGAUCGCAUGGCCUCGAGCCGGCGACGCAUCUUUCAAAUGUCUGCCCUAUCAAAUGACGAUGGUACGUGAUCUGCCUACCAUGUUAGCAACGGGUAGCGGGGAAUCAGGGUUCGAUUCCGGAGAGGGAGCAUGAGAAACGGCUACCACA